rnacentral:rRNA from 1 species
AAAUUGAAGAGUUUGAUCAUGGCUCAGAUUGAACGCUGGCGGCAGGCCUAACACAUGCAAGUCGAACGGUAACAGGAAGCAGCUUGCUGCUUUGCUGACGAGUGGCGGACGGGUGAGUAAUGUCUGGGAAACUGCCCGAUGGAGGGGGAUAACUACUGGAAACGGUGGCUAAUACCGCAUAACGUCGCAAGACCAAAGAGGGGGACCUUCGGGCCUCUUGCCAUCAGAUGUGCCCAGAUGGGAUUA